UCUGAAGCAAGACCUCAAAGUGGAGUAACAGAAACAGAUAGAGGAUUUACCUCAACAGAGAAACCUGGGUAGGAGAAGAGGAAACAACCAUUUUCAUGUUACAGACAGAACAGAUAAAACUUGCCCCCCAAAAUCAAAUGUGAAUUUAAGAGGUGAUAUCUAGAAGGACAUAAUUCACCAAGGGGAAAAGAGGGAAGCUAAAAAGAGAUCCAGCAGCUAAUGACUUCUGCGAGUUGAAUGGAGACUCUUCUGAGCAGCGAGAGGGAGCCAGGAGUCAGGGCUCAGCUGGGUGCGCCCCAGGAUGCUCAAGACAGUCUGUGCGAUGAAGGGGAGAGAACGUGAUCUAUGACACCUGCUAUUCUCUGACCCUUUGAAAUAACAACGACUGUCUUCAUACAUCACUUUUCCAC